GGGGCUGUGGCGCAGUUGGCUAGCGUGUAGGUCUCAUAGCUAUUGAGUGAUCCUGAGGUCGAGAGUUCGAGCCUCUCUCUCCCCA
rfam:Brassica napus, WGS project CCCW01000000 data, contig: 35075